CCUACGGGUGGCAGCAGUGAGGAAUAUUGGUCAAUGGACGAGAGUCUGAACCAGCCAAGUAGCGUGAAGGAUGACUGCCCUAUGGGUUGUAAACUUUUUUUAUAUGGGAAUAAAAUGUUCCACGUGUGGGAUUUUGUAUGUACCAUAUGAAUAAGGAUCGGCUAACUCCGUGCCAGCAGCCGCGGUAAUACGGAGGAUCCGAGCGUUAUCCGGAUUUAUUGGGUUUAAAGGGAGCGUAGGUGGUUUGUUAAGUCAGUUGUGAAAGUUUGCGGCUCAACCGUAAAAUUGCAGUUGAAACUGGCAGUCUUGAGUACAGUAGAGGUGGGCGGAAUUCGUGGUGUAGCGGUGAAAUGCUUAGAUAUCACGAAGAACACCGAUGGCGAAGGCAGUUCACUGGACUGCAACUGACACUGAGGCUCGAAAGUGUGGGUAUCAAACAGGAUUAGAUACCCCUGUAGUC
rnacentral:rRNA from 1 species